rnacentral:ncRNA from 1 species
AGGAGAGCGAAAUCUCCUCUGCGCUGUGUGUUAAUAGUUGGGCUUUUGGUCGAGCCUAAUGGUUAGUGAAUC